rnacentral:tRNA from 1 species
AGGGAUUUAACUCAGUGGCACAGUGCCUGCCUGGCAAGCAUGAGGUCUUGAGUUCGAUCCCCAGUAUCCCCC